rnacentral:rRNA from 1 species
ACCUGCGGAAGGAUCAUUAUUGAAUGAACUUGGUGUGGUUGUAGCUGGCCCUCUUGAAAAGGGCAUGUGCACACCCACCAUCCUCAUCUCUCCACCUGUGCACCUCUUGUAGACUUGGAUUGACUUUCCGAGGCAACUCGGUCGGGAGGACUGCUGGCACUAGCUGGCUUUCCUUGCAUUUCCAAGUCUACGUUUUUCAUAUACCCUAUCGUAUGUAAUAGAAUGUAUCAUUGGGCACUUGUGCCUAUAAACCUUAUACAACUUUCAGCAACGGAUCUCUUGGCUCUCGCAUCGAUGAAGAACGCAGCGAAAUGCGAUAAGUAAUGUGAAUUGCAGAAUUCAGUGAAUCAUCGAAUCUUUGAACGCACCUUGCGCUCCUUGGUAUUCCGAGGAGCAUGCCUGUUUGAGUGUCAUUAAAUUCUCAACCUUUAUCAGCUUUUGUUGAUAAUGGCUUGGAUAUGGGGGUUUAUUUUUGCUGGCUUCUUCACGGAUGGUCAGCUCCCCUUAAAUGCAUUAGCCGGUGCCCCGCGUGGACUGUCUAUUGGUGUGAUAAUUAUCUACGCCGUGGACAUCUGCAGUCAUAUGGGUUUGCACUGCUUCUAACCGUCUGUUCAUUCAGACAAUAUAUGACA